rnacentral:rRNA from 1 species
GAUGAACGCUAGCGGCAGGCUUAACACAUGCAAGUCGAACGGUAACAUAAGGUGCUUGCAUCUUGAUGACGAGUGGCGCACGGGUGCGUAACGCGUAUACAAUCUGCCUUUUACAGGGGUAUAGCCUUUAGAAAUGAAGAAUAAUCCCCCAUAGUAUUAUAAAGUUGCAUGACUAUAUAAUUAAAGAUUUAUCGGUAAAAGAUGAGUAUGCGUUCUAUUAGCUAGUAGGUGUGGUAACGGCACACCUAGGCAACGAUAGAUAGGGGCCCUGAGAGGGGGAUCCC